CUUACCUCCACUGUCAAGGACCAAGCUCCUUCCACUCUGCAACCUGGUGCAGUGUGUGGAAACACUUCAGCAUCCAUUCAACCUUCAUCCCCUUCCUUCCAGUCAGACAGGCAUGAAUCUCAAGGCAUUGCAUCAAAUACUAAAUAACACGUACAAUGACACUAUUUCUACUGGACCUUACUAAAACUCAUCAGCACCUUUAUUUUCGGAAACAAAAUGGCAUUCUAUAAAAAGAUACAAAACUUAUUCUCACUAAAGUGCUACAACUUGUCAAGUGAGAAAUUUCGAGGAAAAAAAAUAGCAAACAUGUUAACUACUUAUAAGAAAGUGAAAGACAGGCGCCGUGCAACUGGGGAAGGGAAGAUCACCUGGGAGUACUAUACACUAAUGGAUGAGUUAUUUGGGUCUUCGGGGAUCGGUACUGCACCAUCUGGCACCAUUCACUCCACACCUCUGGGUUUGGAUAAGACCUCUUCCACAAGCAGGCCCACGUCUUCUCUUCAAGACCAGCCGGUAGGUGCUAGUAUGGAUGAACAGCCAGGAACUGCUACCAUACAAAAAUGCAAACAUCACAAGAAGGCAAAGAUGACCACAACCCUUACAAUUCCUGGACACUUCUGAAGAGCAUGUAGAGAGAAGAACUGCUGUGCUUGAGUCCCUGGUAAGGCCAGAUCUGGAGAGAUGGCGGCGACUUAAGAAGAGGCGGAGAAGGCCCUUCGAAAAAAAGAUGGUGACCAGCUUGGGAACAAAUGUGGAGAAGCUAAAAAAAAAAAA